UACGUAGGGGCCAAGCGUUGUUCGGAUUUACUGGGCGUAAAGGGCGCGUAGGCGGCAAUUCAAGUCAGCUGUGAAAUCUCCGGGCUUAACUCGGAACGGUCAGCUGAUACUGCUUUGCUAGAGUGCAGAAGGGGCAAUCGGAAUUCUUGGUGUAGCGGUGAAAUGCGUAGAUAUCAAGAGGAACACCUGAGGUGAAGACGGGUUGCUGGGCUGACACUGACGCUGAGGCGCGAAAGCGAGGGUAGCAAACGGG
rnacentral:rRNA from 1 species